rnacentral:rRNA from 1 species
UACGUAGGGUGCGAGCGUUGUCCGGAAUUACUGGGCGUAAAGAGUUCGUAGGCGGUUUGUCGCGUCGUUCGUGAAAACUUGGGGCUUAACCCUGAGCUUGCGGUCGAUACGGGCAUCACUGGAGUUCGGCAGGGGAGACUGGAAUUCCUGGUGUAGCGGUGAAAUGCGCAGAUAUCAGGAGGAACACCGGUGGCGAAGGCGGGUCUCUGGGCCGAUACUGACGCUGAGGAGCGAAAGCGUGGGGAGCGAACAGG